rnacentral:lncRNA from 1 species
CCCCACCGGGCCCCUCGGGCUGCAGGAGGCGGAUGCUGUGGGUGCUCAGAGAUGCGGGUCUGAAGCCUGGGUGGCUCUUCUUUGCUGAACUGCCUGCCUGGAUGCCAGCGCCCACCGCGUCCCCCCAGCCUCCAAGUCAGUCUCAGCCGCCAACAGUGACCAGACCUCCACAUGCGGGAAGCCAGGCCACUGCCCAGCGCCACGCCACUCCCGCCAGAUGCAACAGGAUGCCUUUCGCAGCAAAGUCAGAGUGGGCGCCUGGACCCCACGCAGACCCCCGGACCUGCUGAGGAAUGAGGGCUUGGGCAGCGCUGCUCUGGAGGAGCCGCCCACAGAGCGCAUCCCACCACUGUUCAUAAAGGCCUUUUACGGCCCCGAAGGCCCGCGUGCGGGCCUGGCCCUUGGGGUGCUUCCCUUUGGGGGAGCCGCUGCAGAAGCCGCCCCGGGGGGGACCCUCCAGGCAGCACUGGAUGAGUGAUGUCCUGCUUGCCCAGAGGAUCGGCCCAGAUGCCUGGAGAUCUCCUGGGACCACCUUGCAAUAACUCACGGGCUGCUAACGAAGCAGGCUUGACCCGUCUGUCUCUGUGUGCGAGCAUCCGUCAGCAAAAAACCUGGAUCUGAGUGGCAUCAAGCUGACCACCUAGAGUCCUGAUCUCAUCCCAGUUCUGCAGGAGAACGUUGCAGGGAUUCUCUAGAAACUGCACUUGGAGCCGUGUGGCAUCAAGGACCCCCACCAGGAGGCCAUCCUGCCUGCCCUGAGCCGCUGCUCCCAGCUCAGGUCCACCAGCCUAGGUGGGAACCUCCUCUCCACGGUCGUGAUGGAGAAGCUGCUGAGUCACACGGCUGGGCUGCCCCGCUGAAAGGAUGAGUUUUAUCCCGGCCCCCGGGAGAGUCAGAGCUCUAGAGGACCUCGGCCUGGGGAUACUUGCCCAGCUGCGGGAGGAGCUGAUGGAGUUGAUGAGGGGCUUUGGAGGUCCAGGGCCAUCUGGCUUUGCUCCAGCCCGCGUCCUCGCUGGGGCAAUAAGACGUUCUAUCACGAGGAGUCGUUCUAUAUGAUUGCCGUCCACCUGUGUCGUUGGGUGUAUCGGUCCAAAGCACUUCUGGGCACUUGGGUUCUGAAAUCCAGGUCGGGCACCAUGUCAAGGGAACACAGACCCAUGAUAAAUGGCGGGGACCCUGGCAUGAGCGUUUCUCAUGGUUCCCCUGGUGCUCCCAUUAGUCUCAGCUUCCGGGCAUCGUGUGUCCCGGGAGAGGGUCUCGGUGCACAAGGCAAGGUCCCCAGUUCUGGAAAGUGUCGUCCACUUGGCCAAAGAGUGUUACCCUCUCAUCUUCACCAACCUGUGCCUGUCAUGAGUGGGUGGUUGUCCUAUGUGAGUCAAUCUACUUGUGGCCAGGAGAGAGACCCCCCCCAAAAAAAAUACUAAAAUAGUGUAGUCAGGGAGUUCCUGCUGUGGCUCAGCGGUUAAUGAACCUGACUAGUAUCCAUGAGGACUCAGAUUUGACGCCUGGCCUCGCUCAGUGCAUUCAGGAUCCAGUGUUGCCAUGAGCUGUAGGUCACAGAUGCAGCUCGGAUCUGGCGUGGCUGUGGCUGUGGUGCAGGCCGGCAGCUGCAGCUCCAAUUCGACCCCUAGCCUGGGAACCUCCAUAUACCACGGGUGUGGCCCUAAAGCCCCAAAAGACAGAAGAAAAUAAAAAUAGAAUAGUCAUUUAACAUAGUUUUUUUAGUAUUUCUAAGCCACAUUAAAAAUCUUAUCAGGAGUUCCCGUCGUGGUGCAGUGGUUAACGAAUCCGACUAGGAACCAUGAGGUUGCAGGUUCGGUUCCUGCCCUUGCUCAGUGGGUUAACGAUCUGGCGUUGCCGUGAGCUGUGGUGUAGGUUGCAGACGCGGCUUGGAUCCCACGUUGCUGUGGCUCUGGCGUAGGCCGGUGGCUGCAGUUCCGAUUAGACCCCUAGCCUGGGAACCUCCAUGUGCCGCGGGAGCGGCCCAAAGAAAUAGCAAAAAGACAAAAAAAAAAAAAAUCUUAUCUUUUGUGGGGUGGAGAAAAUCCUUGAGAUUAUUUCUCUAAAAACUGCUGUCUCUCCUUAUCAAGGAAGACCAGUAUAGAUUUUUUUCUUUUUUUAUUAAAUUUAUUUUUUAUGAUAUAGUUCAUUGACAGUGCUGAGUCAAUUUCUCCUAUACAGCAUAGUGUGAGAAAAAGAAUGUAUAUAUAUAUAUAUAUAUGAUGUUUUUUCUUUUUAUGGCCACACCUGGGUCCUAUGGAAGUUCCCGGCUAGGGAUCCAACCUGAGCUGCAGCUACCAGCCUACGCCACAGCCACAGCCACACCAGAUCCGAGCCGCACCUGCAACCUAUGCCACAGCUUGCUUGCAGCCAUGCUGGAUCCUUAACCACCCACUGAGAGUGAGACCAGGGGUGGAACCCACAUCCCAACAGACACUAUGUUGGGUUCUUAACCCGCUGAGCCACAACGGGAACUCCUUGCAUAGCAUUUUUCCUUCUAACCCAUCGGGAUGGAUAACAAAACACUUGCUUUAUGCUACUGAUAACUCGGAGUCAACUCAACUUUUCCUCAGUUCCAUACUCUUCAUUCAACCAACAGCACAUGGUAUCGAAAAAUAUUCACUAUUCACCAUUGAAAAAUACUCGUAAGUGCACACGAUCAGCUGAAGACUCAUCUAUAGACAAAUCAAUACAUAGAUUGACCUUAGAAAGGAGUGAUAACGAGAAGAAGCUUGCACAGUUACAGAUGCCAAGGAGUCCCACAGUCCACGCUCUGUAGGGUCGAGAACCAGCAAAGCCAUUGUAGAACUCAGUUCAAGGUUUAAACCUGAAAACCAGGAGAACUGAGGAAACCCCAAGUCCAAGGCCAAAGGCCUGAGAACCAGGACACCACUGGUGUCAGUCCGGAGUCACAGCUGUCGAGAGCCAGAAGCUCCAAUGUUCCUGGGUGAGAAGAGGUAAAGGGAGGAAAGAUGCAGUCUUGGCCAAUUCAGGCCCCAAAGAGACCGGACGAUGCCCAUCUGCCGUGGUGAGGGCGGGCUCUUCAUUCAGUCCCCAGUCAACCCGUAAUCGCCUCUAGAAACACCAUCCCAGAAACACUCAGAAUUGGAGUUCCCACUGUGGCUCCGCGGUAAUGAACCUGGCUAAUAUCCAUGAGGAUGUGGGUUCAAUCCCUAGCCCCACUCAGUGGGUUAAGGAUGCUGCGUUGCCGUGGCUGUGGUGUGGGUCACAGAUGCGGCUUGGAUCCCGAGUUGCUGUGGCUGUGGUGUAGCCUGGGAACUUCGACCCCUAGCCUGGGAACUUCCAUAUGCUGCAGGUAUGGCCC